AGUGUAUUGGACUACCAUGGCAGUCACGGGUAACGGAGAAUUAGGGUUCGAUUCCGGAGAGGGAGCCUGAGAAACGGCUACCACAUCUACGGAAGGCAGCAGGCGCGUAAAUUACCCAAUCCUGAUUCAGGGAGGUAGUGACAAGAAAUAACAACUCGGGGCCUCACGGCUUACGAGAUUGCAAUUAGAACAAUUUAAAUCUCUUAGCGAGGUACAAUUGGAGGGCAAGUCUGGUGCCAGCAGCCGCGGUAAUUCCAGCUCCAAUAGCGUAUAUUAAAGUUGUUGCAGUUAAAAAGCUCGUAGUUGAAUUUCUGAUUAUGAAUGUACUGGGUAACCGGUCCAUUUAUAGUCAUCCACAUGAGAACCUUUCUCGGCCUUCACUGGUCGGUUGGGGAGUCAUGUACUUUACUUUGUAAAAAUACAGAGUGUUUCUAGGCAGGCGUUUGUCAUGUAAUACACAAGCAUGGAAUAAUGGAAUAGGACUAGGGUCCAUUUUAUUGGUUAUUGGACCAUAGUAAUGAUUAAUAGGACAGUU
rnacentral:rRNA from 1 species